rnacentral:rRNA from 1 species
UGCAGUCGAACGAAGGCUUCGGCCUUAGUGGCGCACGGGUGCGUAACGCGUGGGAAUCUGCCCUUUGGUUCGGAAUAACAGCUGGAAACGGCUGCUAAUACCGGAUGAUGUCGAUGAGACCAAAGAUUUAUCGCCAGAGGAUGAGCCCGCGUUGGAUUAGGUAGUUGGUGGGGUAAAGGCCUACCAAGCCGACGAUCCAUAGCUGGUCUGAGAGGAUGAUCAGCCACACUGGGACUGAGACACGGCCCAGACUCCUACGGGAGGCAGCAGUGGGGAAUAUUGGACAAUGGGCGAAAGCCUGAUCCAGCAAUGCCGCGUGAGUGAUGAAGGCCCUAGGGUUGUAAAGCUCUUUUACCCGGGAAGAUAAUGACUGUACCGGGAGAAUAAGCCCCGGCUAACUCCGUGCCAGCAGCCGCGGUAAUACGGAGGGGGCUAGCGUUGUUCGGAAUUACUGGGCGUAAAGCGCACGUAGGCGGCUUUGUAAGUCAGAGGUGAAAGCCUGGAGCUCAACUCCAGAACUGCCUUUGAGACUGCAUCGCUUGAAUCCAGGAGAGGUCAGUGGAAUUCCGAGUGUAGAGGUGAAAUUCGUAGAUAUUCGGAAGAACACCAGUGGCGAAGGCGGCUGACUG